UAAGGAAUAUUGGACAAUGGACGAAAGUCUGAUCCAGCCAUGCCGCGUGCAGGAUGACAGCCCUACGGGUUGUAAACUGCUUUUAUACAGGAAGAAACACUCCGACGUGUCGGAGCUUGACGGUACUGUAAGAAUAAGGAUCGGCUAACUCCGUGCCAGCAGCCGCGGUAACACGGAGGAUCCAAGCGUUAUCCGGAAUCAUUGGGUUUAAAGGGUCCGCAGGCUGUUUUUUAAGUCAGAGGUGAAAUCCUGCAGCUCAACUGUAGAACUGCCUUUGAUACUGGAAAACUUGAGUUAUUGUGAAGUGGUUAGAAUGUGUGGUGUAGCGGUGAAAUGCAUAGAUAUCACACAGAAUACCGAUUGCGAAGGCAGAUCACUAACAAUAUACUGACGCUCAUGGACGAAAGCGUGGGGAGCGAACAGGAUUAGAUACCCUGGUAGUCCACGCCGUAAACGAUGGAUACUAGCCGUUCGUCUAACAUUGGUUAGAUGAGUGGCUAAGCGAAAGUGAUAAGUAUCCCACCUGGGGAGUACGGUCGCAAGACUG
rnacentral:rRNA from 1 species